UAUGCCCUUUCAAACAAGAUUUACAAUUUUUUUAAAGAUUCAAUCAGCACAUUUUUUCCUGUACUUCAUUUACUUUUACAUUGUAAUUAGUGCCAUCUCCUUUGAUUUAAAUUGUGCAAUAGAUAUAUGUGUACUUAAUUUGUUUAUAUUUCAUUAAUUAUUUUUUAUAAUCAUGAUGUUAUAUUUUUUUAAGUAUAUGCCGCCUGAGUGCCCUUCAUUGGCGAACAACUAUAUACCAUUAUAGUUUUCCCAAAACUGUGCUCAUUGUAUCAUACAACUUCAAGUUCCUAUUAUAUACAACACUGGCAAGUUUUAAUACUGGUUUAACUUUCAGAUGAACAUUAUUCUAAAUUCUAAAUAGUUUGCGAUGUAUUUUACUGUAAUGGAUUUAAUCAUUAAUAAAGGAUUAUUUAAUUUUAAAAAUGUUCAGUCUACGAUGUUCCGUUGCUUUUUUGCAAAAUUUUGGUACCCGUAAAUUUGAAUUGUAAAGUUUGUUUAAAGGGACAUAGUUACGAUUUUGUUCAUAAAUUAAUUUUAUGCAUUUAAUGUUUACAAUGCUCCAGUAAAACAUUUUUAAUAAUCAAUCAAAUUUUGAGGGUCAGUCGUCGAAUUUUAAGCGAGAUACAGAGCUCACAAUUCUCUUUUCAGUAAACAAAGCUCGGGUGAUGUUUUUGUUUAUAUUUUGAAUAUUUCAUGUCUAGACGUAAAAUAAAUGUGACAAACAC
rnacentral:misc_RNA from 1 species